UUAUAAGAGACAGCAGUCGCCGCGGUAAUACAGAGGGUGCGAGCGUUAAUCGGAUUUACUGGGCGUAAAGCGUGCGUAGGCGGCUUUUUAAGUCGGAUGUGAAAUCCCUGAGCUUAACUUAGGAAUUGCAUUCGAUACUGGGAAGCUAGAGUAUGGGAGAGGAUGGUAGAAUUCCAGGUGUAGCGGUGAAAUGCGUAGAGAUCUGGAGGAAUACCGAUGGCGAAGGCAGCCAUCUGGCCUAAUACUGACGCUGAGGUACGAAAGCAUGGGGAGCAAACAGGAUUAGAUACCCCUGUAGUCCCUGUCUCUUAUAC
rnacentral:rRNA from 1 species